rnacentral:rRNA from 1 species
CUGAGCUUGCUCCCGCUGACGACCGGCGCACGGGUGAGUAACGCGUAUGCAACCUGCCUCUAACUGGGGGAUAGCCCUAAGAAAUUGGGAUUAAUACCGCGUAGUAUUAUUGAAAGGCAUCUUUUAAUAAUUAAAGAUUUAUUGGUUAGAGAUGGGCAUGCGUGCCAUUAGGUAGUUGGUAAGGUAAUUGCUUACCAAGCCGGCGAUGGCUACGGGGUCUAAAAGGAUGAUCCCGCACACUGGUACUGAGACACGGACCAGACUCCUACGGGAGGCAGCAGUGAGGAAUAUUGGUCAAUGGGGGCAACCCUGAACCAGCCAUGCCGCGUGAAGGAUGACUGCCCUAUGGGUUGUAAACUUCUUUUCUGUGAGGAUAAUUGGCUUUAUGUAUAAAGCAGAUGAAGGUAUCACAGGAAUAAGCAUCGGCUAACUCCGUGCCAGCAGCCGCGGUAAUACGGAGGAUGCAAGCGUUAUCCGGAUUUAUUAGGUUUAAAGGGUGCGUAGGCGGGAAAUUAAGUCAGUGGUGAAAUCCUACAGCUUAACUGUAGAACUGCCAUUGAUACUGGUUUUCUUGAGUUCGGUUGAAGUAGGCGGAAUGUGUAAUGUAGCGGUGAAAUGCAUAGAUAUUACACAGAACACCGAUUGCGAAGGCAGCUUACUAAACCGUUACUGACGCUGAUGCACGAAAGCGUGGGGAGCGAACAGGAUUAGAUACCCUGGUAGUCCACGCCGUAAACGAUGUUCACUGGCUGUAUGCGAUAUAUUGUAUGCGGCUGAGCGAAAGCAUUAAGUGAACCACCUGGGGAGUACGUCGGCAACGAUGAAACUCAAAGGAAUUGACGGGGGCCCGCACAAGCGGAGGAACAUGUGGUUUAAUCCGAUGAUACGCGAGGAACCUUACCUGGGCUUAAAUGUAUGGUGCAUGGAGUGGAAACAUUCCUUUUCGUCAGAACUCUUUACAAGGUGCUGCAUGGCUGUCGUCAGCUCGUGCCGUGAGGUGUCGGGUUAAGUCCCAUAACGAGCGCAACCCCUAUUGUUAGUUACCAGCGGAUAAUGCCGGGGACUCUAAUGAGACUGCCACCGUAAGGUGUGAGGAAGGUGGGGAUGACGUCAAGUCAGCACGGCCCUUACGUCCAGGGCUACACACGUGUUACAAUGGCCGGUACAAAGGGCAGCUACAUAGUGAUAUGAUGCUAAUCUCGAAAGCCGGUCUCAGUUCGGAUCGAAGUCUGCAACCCGACUUCGUGAAGCUGGAUUCGUUAGUAAUCGCGCAUCAGCCACGGCGCGGUGAAUACGUUCCCGGGCCUUGUACACACCGCCCGUCAAGCCAUGGAAGCCGGGGGUACCUGAAGUUCGUAACCGAAAGGAUCGACCUAGGGUAAAACUGGUAACUGGGGCUAAGUCGUAACAAGGUA